AUGAAACACCUCACCCUACAUUGCCUCUGAUGGAGUACGAACGUGACAUCUAACACUUCACCCUACAUUGCCUCUGAUGGAGUACGAACGUGACAUCUAACACUUCACCCUACAUUGCCUCUGAUGGAGUAUGAAUGUGACAUCAAAAGCGGCGUAAACCGUGUGAAUGAAUGAACGCGUGUGCCAAGGUGAAUGUGACUUGUCCUGUGAGGUGCUUUGAGUGGUCAACAAAACUAGAAAAAAGGAAGUUUAAACAUCUUCAAUUUUUGAUUCCCCAAAAGGGAAACUGUUGAAGUUGUGAUAUAAUAUCCAACUUUUCAUAAUAUAUAGAACUUUUCAUAAUAUAUAGAAUAUCAUUCUCGCAGCGCCGUCACUUUAGAAAUGCAUCUUUGUUUUGGUUCGUGGUUAGUAGUACAACCAAGUGGCAGCCCACGGUGAUGUCAUCCUUUGAAUGAAGAUCAUGUUUUAUUGAAGAAGACUUAAAACUACCGGGUGAGACCAUAAACUCCAAGGUUUACUAUUGUUAUAAACCGACUGAGAAGUAUGAUCAUUUUCUCCUUGACUUCUACAAUUCUGCUGGUCAUUCGAGAUAAUACGGUUUUCCUACAGGCACUUAAGGCCAAUUUGAGCGAUAGCAUGAACUUUCCGACAGAUAACGUGAUUGUUUCCAGUAUAAUUAGGGACAUGGAUUCAUCCGGAAUUAUGGGAGAGGAGGCUGUUAUGUCACAGACUUUCUCACAAGGGAAAACCGGAUGACUAUCAUGUGUAUUGGAUUCAUUGUCACUGAAAGACUUAAGGAAAACGUAAGACCUACAUUCUGCAUUUCAAUAAAACCUAAUUUUGCUGCGCGUUUCCAUGUGAACAAAAUUGAAUAUCCUAUUGUUAUCCAUUAAAUAUGAUCACACUUACUGGAGGAGUAACUUCCUGCCCUUGUUUGGGAUGUACACCAGCCUGAUUAGAUUGACCUGUUCCCCAUGAUUCCUGCAUAUAUGUUCCCCUUUUGUCUAUUCCAGUGAGUCUUAUUGUAUCUUGCUGCUCAUGUUCCAGCAUUUGUUGCAAGGUGUGUCUCUGCUACCUGCAUGUGUUAUUCUUUGAUUUAGCUCCUUUCCCUGUGCGUCUGACUCCAGCGUUACAGUCAUUUGGUAAUAAGAGCCUUGAAAAUCCAAUGAAUAGAGAUCUCCAGUAUGACACAAUAAGUAUACAUUUUACAUAGACACACUUAGUAGAUUUCCUAUCAGUGUUAAACUAGAUGUACAAUGCAUCACUGUAUUGUCUGGCCCUAUUAUUAAUCAAUUCUAUACUAUUAAACCUCUUCAUUUUGUGAAUGCACUGGUUACUGUAACUGCAGUCUUUCUCUGAGACUACUUUCAAAAACUGUGUAUACACAGAUUUACUCUAGGAAUGCACUGUAUGCAGUGGGUAUCUAAAAUCACCCCAUUUGAGCAAUGUGCUGAUAUUAAGUGUCGCUUAUGUGAAGGUGAAUUUGACUUGGAGACCUUAUUAAUAAAUGCUUAGUGUCAUAACAUUUA